rnacentral:lncRNA from 10 species
GGCCAAGAUAGGCCCAAAAGAAGGGGGCACUGGGCGUUAGGGGCGCAGGUCCAGCCAGUUAGCAAGGGCGGCGCGCUGGGAAGAGUGGUGUAUUUUCACGCCGACACCCGUAUUUUCUUGGCUUGCCUCAAGCCGUCUCUGCGUGACUCGUUACCCCGCCGAAGCCACCCGGCAUCCCAAAGCACGAGCCUGGCGCCUCCUAUUCCACGCGGAAGUGCCCGAGUGACCCUGUGAAGGACCUCCCUCCCCUCACACACGCACAUACACAAGCCCAUGUGGGAGCCCGAGUGACGUGUGCUCGGUGGUCAUGCACCAUCAUUUCCCUUCCACCUUCCUCCUCGCCGCUUCCUCUCCCUCCACCGCGCAGCUCCAGCCGCCUUGCCGCCGCCGCAUCCCCUUCCAAGUUCAGGCUGUGGGUGGAACCUGUUGCUUUAGCUCACGUUUCCCUUCCCCUCCGGGCUGCACGCUGAGGAUGACCUCAGCGAGGUGUGUGUAAGGGGAAUGGAGGGUUUGGCUUCCUUGAGACAGAGGAUCUUGCUCGCCUCAAAGAGGAGGGCAGUUUGCCCCCUUCCUCCUGACUCCAAGACAAAAGAGAGAAGACUGAAGAGUGGGAAGAGGUCAAAGGAAUAUCUUUAAAAGGGAUCCAGGGCCUCUCAGAGUUCACCUGAGCUUUCCCAAGUCUGGUUUGUUCUCUCUACCCUGCUGCUACUACUGCAAGUGACUUUCACAAGAUGCUUCUGAGCAUAGCAUUGCUCUGCUGUGACCACUGCAGAUGUCAAGAGAAUUUCUGCCUUUUGGAACUUGGACAAUAUUGGCCACCUACCCAGAGAGAGGAGAAGGAUAAUCCAGACAUAAAGGUAGCUCCCACACAUCCUUUGGAUCUCUGAUAAAGAGUCAUAUACUUAAAGAGCCAUCCUCACAUUCCUGCCCAGACUGUGAGCUGCAUGAGAGAGGCCAUGUCUCAUUUUGUUCCAUUACAUCUCCAGCACUUAAGAGUGCUGGACACAUAACGAGUGUCUGACACAUAACGAGUGCUGAAUAAAUGUUUGUUAACUGAUAAAAUG